AGUGAACGCUGGCGGUAGGCCUAACACAUGCAAGUCGAACGGCAGCACAGUAAGAGCUUGCUCUUACGGGUGGCGAGUGGCGGACGGGUGAGGAAUACAUCGGAAUCUACUUUUUCGUGGGGGAUAACGUAGGGAAACUUACGCUAAUACCGCAUACGACCUACGGGUGAAAGCAGGGGAUCUUCGGACCUUGCGCGAUUGAAUGAGCCGAUGUCGGAUUAGCUAGUUGGCGGGGUAAAGGCCCACCAAGGCGACGAUCCGUAGCUGGUCUGAGAGGAUGAUCAGCAAAACUGGAACUGAGACACGGUCAAGACUCCUACGGGAGGCAGCAGUGGGGAAUAUUGGACAAUGGGCGCAAGCCUGAUCCAGCCAUACCGCGUGGGUGAAGAAGGCCUUCGGGUUGUAAAGCCCUUUUGUUGGGAAAGAAAAGCAGCAGGUUAAUACCCCGCUGUUCUGACGGUACCCAAAGAAUAAGCACCGGCUAACUUCGUG
rnacentral:rRNA from 1 species